rnacentral:lncRNA from 10 species
GCUCAAAGUGGUUGGGGGAUGGGGUACUUCCCACUUAGGAGGGAAGGGGGGAAUAUGAACAGGUGAGUGGCCACAGUGGGGCUGAGACCCGUAGACAGUGGGACCAGCGGGGGCUUCCCAAAUCCUGGGCCCUCAGACUGCAGGAUCAGAAGAGGGAAAAAACCCCAUAGGACCGGCUCAGCUUCCCGAGGCUGGAGGGUGAGGCUGCCCCCUAGUGGCUGAAGUUCACGACCGGACGGACGUUCAAGGAGUCCCGGGCGUUCCAAUGCUUUCUCCCAGGAAGUGGGCUCUGCAGGCUGGAGUUGCCCUAGUGUCAGGGUGAAGGCUGGGAGCCAACGUCUAAUCAUCAAGGUGAUGGAACUCUGAGGGCUGAAGGGAUGUUAAGGCACUGAGGGCCAGAGCACUUGUUCUCAUCAGCAUCAUCAUCAGCCUCAGCAUCAUUGUCACCGUAAUCAGCAUCAUUGGCAUCAGCAUCAUCAGCAUCACCACCCUCAUCAUCAUCAGUAGCAUCAAUAUCACUAUCAUCAGCAUUAGCAUCAGCAUCAUCAGCAGCAUCAGCACCAUCAGCAUCAUCGUCAUCAGGAUCAUCAGCAUCAUCAGCAGCAUCACCACCAUUAUCAGCAUCAGGAUCACCAUCUAACAUUUUUUGAGGGCUUCAAAUGCACAAGGCACUGGGCUGAUUUCUUUACAUGCAUUGUCUCACUUGUUUCCAA